rnacentral:rRNA from 1 species
AGACGGGGGGUGCUAGCGUUGUUCGGAAUUACUGGGCGUAAAGGGCGCGUAGGCGGCUCUGCGAGUCGGGCGUGAAAUCCCGGGGCUCAACCCCGGAACGGCGCUCGAUACUGCGGGGCUGGAGACCGGAAGAGGAGGGUGGAAUUCCCAGUGUAGAGGUGAAAUUCGUAGAUAUUGGGAGGAGCACCGGUGGCGAAAGCGGCUCUCUGGUCCGGUUCUGACGCUGAGGCGCGAAAGCGUGGGGAGCAAACAGGAUUAGAAACCCCAGUAGUCC